rnacentral:rRNA from 1 species
AUUGAACGCUGGCGGCAGGCCUAACACAUGCAAGUCGAGCGGUAGCACAAGAGAGCUUGCUCUCUGGGUGACGAGCGGCGGACGGGUGAGUAAUGUCUGGGAAACUGCCUGAUGGAGGGGGAUAACUACUGGAAACGGUAGCUAAUACCGCAUAACGUCUUCGGACCAAAGUGGGGGACCUUCGGGCCUCACGCCAUCAGAUGUGCCCAGAUGGGAUUAGCUAGUAGGUGGGGUAAUGGCUCACCUAGGCGACGAUCCCUAGCUGGUCUGAGAGGAUGACCAGCCACACUGGAACUGAGACACGGUCCAGACUCCUACGGGAGGCAGCAGUGGGGAAUAUUGCACAAUGGGCGCAAGCCUGAUGCAGCCAUGCCGCGUGUGUGAAGAAGGCCUUCGGGUUGUAAAGCACUUUCAGCGAGGAGGAAGGGUGGUGUGUUAAUAGCACAUCACAUUGACGUUACUCGCAGAAGAAGCACCGGCUAACUCCGUGC